GAGGCUACACAGGGCUCUGACAGAAGAACACGGCCAGGGGACUUACUGAGAGGUCCACAACUGUCUUGAUGGCCUUUUCUUUUCUCUUUAUGAAGUCAUCAUCCUACAAGACAAAACAGAGCGAUUAAACAAAUCCCAAGGGAAAAUUAAAACUCAAGUGGACCACUCAGAUAUCUGUCUUAUAAAUUGACUUCUCAUCUCAUCACUACUUUGCCUGACGAAGUCUCAAUUUUCGAACAAAUUGUAAUAUAUUCUCCAUGGGAAAAGGCUACAAACCCUGCAGAUGGCUCCAACAUAGAUCCCUACACAGCCAGUAAGAAAAAGGGGGUCAUAAGGAAUAGUGCUUAAGACAAGAGUUCUCAUUUCAAAUCCUCUUAAGCACUGAAACCUCAGCUCGUUUCACCAGCCACUGGGGAAGAAAGUGAAAAGACAUGAGUUGCUAAGGACAACAUCCCACUGCAGUGAAGGCCAGUUCAGACAUGGCCCAACUCAUGAACUCAAAUCAGCAUAGUUGAACUGACUAGGUGAUAAGAAGCUAUCAACACAUGCUGUUCUAUAGGAAAAGCAACCAGCUGGGUAUCCGAGAUGUUAAGAUCCAAUGGGACCUAGUGCUGAGUAGCCGUGCAGGAGCUUUAAAGCCUUACUUCACAUCCUUGAGCCUCAGUUUUCCUUUCUGUAAAAUAUAUCUGUUCCCUUCACCUCACAGACCUAACAUGGGAGUAAAUGAAAUCACAAGUAGUAGAGUGAUUUGUAAACACCUGAAGCACAAAACAAACAGAGCUAUCUCCCAACUUCCUGGUCCUACUGGCAGAUCUUCAUGUAAAUCUCUUUUUCUUGUGCUCCUUACACCGCAGACCAGGGAAAAGGGAGAGAACCACAGAGAAUGCUAGUGUAACUCCCCAUUUGACAAGUGAAAAAAUGUCCAAAAUACUCAGAUUUGACAAUGGUGCAUACUGAGUACGCAGUUGAAGGCAUUGGUUUAUCCUGACAUUCAUAACAUUCUCUCUUAAUCCUCACAAUGUCGGAUGGUACUGGCUGAGUUUUACUGAACCUGAAGUGCCGGGAGACUAUAUAACUUACUCAUGGAUCCAUAGCUAGCCAGCUGCAAAGCUGGGAGUCACAACUCAAGAGACUAUCCUACACCGAAGACUGGACAAAUGGUUUCAUGAAAUGUUUCCCAGCUUUGUUAGGCUGAUACCCAGAAACAGCUGCUCUUCACUUCUCCCAACUGAAAACUCCAGUUAUUAUCAUUAAAACACCACCCUGCAGAAGAUCCACCCGCUCUGAGGGUAAAAACCUGCAGAAGAUCCACCCGCUCUGAGGGUAAGGGUGUAAAGUGUAAAAAGAACCUUUGCUUCUCCUCCCCGGCUCUUCAUUCACUCCCUUUAUUACUGAAGAACAUCACAGAAGGGGUGCCACUCCCUCUCCAGAGAAAGCUACUGCAUCUCAAAAGCAGUUUUGGGAUAGUAGCUGUGUUUCGCCAACAGCAUAUCACACUUGGUGAGGGUUAGCUACCUAGGAAAGCAGGCACAUGGCACAUAACACUGUGCUGCACGGUGUUCCCGCAGAUGUUUGUUCACAAAGCGCAGCCAGCUCAAGUAAAGCACAUGUUUAGGAAAUAGCUGCUCAGAAUAGAGCAAAUAACUCUGAGGAAUAUUCCUUGCUGUCAGUAUCUUCUAUAUAUUUCUACCACUUCACCCCCAAACAGUGACCUCAGGCAAAGACUAAAAUCCAGAAGCAGAGACAGAAGAUCAGAGAGUAUUGAGAACGACUGUAGUCCCUCACCUGUACUCCAUCCCAGUACAACUAAGUGGUCCAGGACAACUAAGGGCCAACUAAGGCAGUUGGCUCAUUGCUCAACUCAAUUCAGCCCUGCUUUCUUUUGAAUUGGGAGACCCAGUUUCUGGCUUUUCACAUCUGCUUCCCUUUCAGAGCUGCUCCCAUUAAUCCCAGAUCUACCCUGAGUUACCGCCUGGCUGGAUCCUGGAGAGCAUGAUCCCAUUAUGAAGGGAAAGCUUGUUGAGUCCUAACAGAUGUUUUGGAGUUUCCAGCAUGAAAGGCUAUAGAGGGAAACUCUUGGACAGUCUAGCUCUGCCACAGGUUCCCUAGCACCCAAGAAAAAUACUGACCUUCACAGGAGUCACAUGUCCAACCCAAGAGAAAAAGAUAUGAUCUAGAACUACCAGGGGCCAGAAAUUAGAUCUGCUUUUUUCUUGGCUGCAUCCAGAGAAAGUUACUACAGCUUUGCUAAAAUGGUGUGAACACGGAUGAUGGGCUUCUAGAAUCACAUAAGAGAAGUAGGUCAAUGGCUUACAACUGCUGGCCGGUGAUUAUUCUUUCACGAGUGCCCAGGGGGAAAACAAAACAAACAAACAAAAACAGGCAAAAGCUACAGGCACAUGGUGAGUUUCAUCAUAGUUAUAUGUAUUUAAUUUCAAGGACUGCUUUUUUUUGAGUUUGAGAAUUAAAUGGCCAUUAUUUUAUGAAAUGAUAAA